rnacentral:rRNA from 1 species
UUAAAAAGCUCGUAGUUGAACCUUGGGCCUGGCUGGCCGGUCCGCCUCACCGCGUGCACUGGUUCGGCCGGGCCUUUCCCUCUGGGGAACCUCAUGCCCUUCACUGGGUGUGAUGGGGAACCAGGACUUUUACUGUGAAAAAAUUAGAGUGUUCAAAGCAGGCCUAUGCUCGAAUACAUUAGCAUGGAAUAAUAGAAUAGGACGUGUGGUUCUAUUUUGUUGGUUUCUAGGACCGCCGUAAUGAUUAAUAGGGACAGUCGGGGG